CUCUGCUUCCUUUGUCUCUCUAGCUUUAGGUUAAAUUUUGUUCUGUUUUGUCAUCUUUAAUACAUAGCUGAUACGAGUGAACUCCAUGUAUAUAUUUUGUGAUUUUAUUCUGUAUCUGCUUAGACAAGGGAAUGCAAAAAUUUGCUUGUUUUGUGUCUUCUAAAGGUCUAGCCUGAAUGUUAUAUAUAUAUAUAUAUAUAUCGUUCUUGUAGAGGAUUUGUUUAACUUUUCUGUUGAAGAAUUCAAUAAUGUAUUACUCUCAUUUGUUAGUUUUGUUUUGGAGCAGAAUUGUUAGGAUGUGAAUUUAUUUAUUUAUAGAGGCAGCUCUUUGGACAUUGCUUUAGGAUGGACACCUUUGGAGAAAACUCAGGCUCAUCAAUAUGGAUUAUUUAAUUGUAAAGCAAUUUAUUGAGUAAGAAAUAAAAUUGAUAUGCUUUUUGGCAAAAGGUGCAGAGAUAAAGUGAUAAAAUUAAUGUGUUAGCUCCUUUGAAGUCAAUUUAGGGAUAACAUAAUAGAGUUCAUCAGCAAUAAUACUCUUCUGAUGUAUCCAGAUGUUUGAGUAUACUAAUUUAUAUACUCACUGCUGAAAAUUCACCUUAGCUUAAUUAGGAGCUUAUUCAAGAAUCCAAGAACUGUCAAGGACAUAUCCAUGUUAAGGUCAUUUGUGUUCUUCAUUUCAUCUAGUAAAAGAUAGGUUAGUUAAGUUGUUAUGUUUUGCUUAAGUCUCUGGGAAACUUAACUUGAACCUGCCCUCCCUUUAUUUCUGUUAAAAAAUUCAAAGAUUAUGUCUAUUGGAGCUGCCUUCACUUUGAUUGAGUCAUGAGUAUAAAAAUCAAGUUUUUGUCUCAACUAAAUGAUUUGUUAAGUUUGUAAUGGCUAGUAGUGAUCACUGCCUGUUAUUUUCUCCAUAACCAUCCAGAAUUUGUUUGUGAAAUAGUAAUGAAAAAUCAAGUUCAUACUGAACUGUCUAAAUUGAUUUAGUUUACUUAAAAACCAGGCAUACAGGGAUUCUUUGUUUUUUAACUUUUUAAUAAGAGUUGAGUCUGCAGUUGUUUCAUCGUCCAGGGGUACGUUAGUAAUUUUGGUUUAGUCAUUUGCUCCGAUCAAUUGUAAAACUGGCGUAGGGAAGACUCUGUUCCUACACGUGUAAUUCUUGGUGACACUUGUUUUCUCUCUUCCUCUUCGAAUUUCAUAGAUUAAAUUUGCCGUGGCACCGUUCUAUAUUUCGCUGUGUCAUUCUCUUUCUUUCUUCUAGAAAGAGUCAUUCCUUGCCACUAAGUAACAUUUUUUUAUGGAAUGUUGGUAUUAAUGUUUUGAAAAAUUUGCAGGAAGCUUAUGGAGCACCGGAUGAUGCAAAGUACAUGAUAAUUAUGCUCCCAAGAUUAAAGACAGUUGUUGCGAUUGGAAACAUAUGCAAGAGUCAACUGAAAAUUGGCUAUCCUUUGCACAGAGGAAUGUGUUUUAAUGCAUUGCGAUUGUGGUGAAUGGCUCUUGCAUUCGUGCAACCUUCCUACUUGGUUUACAAGAAGCUUUCAAUGGAAAAUAGGAAAAGUUACGGAUGAUCCAUAGGCCUUUCUAAAGCUUUCACUCAGUUAUACGCAAACUGUUGAGCAAUACUAAUCACUCUCAAAUCUGCGCCUUCACCAUUGUGCGAAGCAUUUGAAAAAGAAAAAAAAAAGAAAAAAGAAACUCGCUGAAAUCUAUUAAAGAAGUUAAAUAAUUUUUUGGUUCCUGUUUGUUAUGAAAAUAUAUUCAAACAUGUGGGCAUAAAAUGCUAUCUUGCAAUAUUGUUACGUAGCAAUACAAGCCUGCUUAGCUACUUCAUCGACGGGUUUUAGCCUUCUCUUUGCUUUAAUAGGAACCAUAGUGGACAUGGAGAGAGAGCAAGUGAAGCGUAUAGUUCGUAAUGGAAAUAAAUAUACCACUAAUUUGCCUCUUUGUUGGACUGCGGACACAAAAACAGCAGUCUCUGACCAGAACCAAUUAGAAUCUGAAUCUUGACAGCCAAGGGAUGCAGCUAGCGGACCAUUUCACCCAUGGAUGCAAGAAUCUUCUAGCUCUAGUUGUAUCUUUUCAUUUUUGAAAUGAUUUUGUAUUGAUGCUAAUUAGAUCAUUGACAUUGUUUUGGUGUUCAAUUUGUUAACAUUUUGUAUGGUUUAGUGGAAUUGUAAUAUUUCUCUAUUUUGAUAUUCUGGUUUAAGU